CUACUCUUACACAGAAUGGUAAGCACGUAUCUAUGCAGGGUGUAAGUAACUCAUAGAUAUAUUA
rfam:Mink coronavirus strain WD1127, complete genome